rnacentral:rRNA from 1 species
UACAGAGGUGGCAAGCGUUGUUCGGAAUUACUGGGCGUAAAGGGCGCGUAGGCGGUUCGUUAAGUCCUGUGUGAAAUCCCCCGGCUCAACUGGGGAACUGCACAGGAAACUAGCGGGCUUGAGUUCGGGAGAGGGAAGCGGAAUUCCGGGUGUAGCGGUGAAAUGCGUAGAUAUCAGGAGGAACACCUGUGGUGUAGACAGCUUACUGGACCACUUCUGACGCUGAGACACGAAAGCGUGGGUAGCAAACAGG